AUUGAACGCUGGCGGAAUGCUUUACACAUGCAAGUCGAACGGUAGAGGGGGCAACCCCUCGAGAGUGGCGAACGGGUGAGUAAUAUAUCGGAACGUGCCCAGUCGUGAGGGAUAACGUAGCGAAAGUUACGCUAAUACCGCAUACGAUCUAAGGAUGAAAGCGGGGGAUCGCAAGACCUCGCGCGAUUGGAGCGGCCGAUAUCAGAUUAGGUAGUUGGUGGGGUAAAGGCUCACCAAGCAAACGACCUGUAGCUGGUCUGAGAGGACGAACAGCCACACUGUAACUGAGACACGGUCCAGACUCCUACGGGAGGCAGCAGUGGGCAAUUUUGGACAAUGGACGCAAGUCUGAUCCAGCCAUUCCGCGUGCAGGAUGAAGGCCCUCGGGUUGUAAACUGCUUUUGUACGGAACGAAAAGGUCUCUCUUAAUACGGGGGACUCAUGACGGUACCGUAAGAAUAAGCACCGGCCAACUACGUGCCAGCCGCCGCGGUAA
rnacentral:rRNA from 1 species